GACGAACGCUGGCGGCGUGCUUAACACAUGAAAGUCGAACGGAAAGGCCCUGCUUUUGUGGGGUGCUCGAGUGGCGAACGGGUGAGUAACACGUGAGUAACCUGCCCUUGACUUUGGGAUAACUUCAGGAAACUGGGGCUAAUACCGGAUAGGAGCUCCUGCUGCAUGGUGGGGGUUGGAAAGUUUCGGCGGUUGGGGAUGGACUCGCGGCUUAUCAGCUUGUUGGUGGGGUAGUGGCUUACCAAGGCUUUGACGGGUAGCCGGCCUGAGAGGGUGACCGGCCACAUGGGGACUGAGGUACGGCCCAGUCUCCUACGGGAGGCAGCAGUGGGGAAUAUUGCACAAUGGGCGGAAGCCUGAUGCAGCAACGCCGCGUGCGGGAUGACGGCCUUCGGGUUGUAAACCGCUUUCGCCUGUGACGAAGCGUUAGUGACGGUAAUGGGUAAAGAAGCACCGGCUAACUACGUG
rnacentral:rRNA from 1 species